UACGUAGGGUGCGAGCGUUAAUCGGAAUUACUGGGCGUAAAGCGCGCGUAGGCGGCCCGGUAAGUCCGUUGUAAAAGUCGAAGGCUCAACCUUCGAAAGCCGAUGGAUACUGCCGGGCUAGAGUACGGAAGAGGCGAGUAGAAUUCCUGGUGUAGCGGUGGAAUGCGCAGAUAUCAGGAGGAAUACCCAUAGCGAAGGCAGCUCGCUGGGACGUUACUGACGCUGAGGCGCGAAAGCGUGGGGAGCGAACAGG
rnacentral:rRNA from 1 species